GGUUGCCUCAUCUCUUCCCCUUUGAAACUGCGACUGCAGGCCGUCCGUUUGACGACUCUGCGAGGCGCUGCAAUUAACUAUUUGUUUCCCAUAUUACAAACUAAAGAAGAUGGUGGAUAAAACACUCUUCGCCAAGUGUUGUUAGCCAUGAUGAGUGCUUCCAAACUCAAGGCGGUGUCCUCUGGACGGCUGACGGGGACGACCAGAAGAGGGAAGAAAGACGCGAUGGUUCAGAGGUUUACCAGACCACUCACAGUGCCGGCCUACUCCCUCUACUCCACAGACUCUGAGGACCAGGUGAGCACCAUUCACCGGGGUCUGGACCACUGUGCCUCCCUGCUGGACCGCCUCCUCCAGGCGGACUCGGCCGGUACGUCUGCCUCCCCCCACGAAAGUAAACCAAGUCAGAAUGGCGUGGUGGACACCAGAGGUCAAAGGUCACUUGGAAGGCGACGCAACCUGGAGAGGAGGAAUACCGGGAGAACCAAGACAGCUCCAACGGCCGUCCCCUCCCCGGCCGUGACCCCCCCCAGCGCCCCACACGCCCCGCGCUCAGUCGGUCCCGCAGAGGGAGCCAAUCAGCUGUCCGGUCAGCCGACCAAUAGGACGACCGCACGGUUCAACGCACGCCUGCCCACCUCCACGCCGUCCCGGAGCCCUACGGGGGUCCCCAAUGGAGACCCCCAGUCCGUGGCCCCCUCUCUGGGCCGCCUGGCCCCCCCAGGCGGCCCCUCGGCCUGUCUUACAGCCGGGGCUUACGGCGGCACGCUAGCAUCGUCUCCCCCUCUCCCAGGGGCCCUGGCCCCGUCUCACCCUCUCCCUCUCCCAGGGGCCCUGGCCCCGUCUCACCCUCUCCCUCUCCCACAGGCCCUGGUCCCGUCUCAUCCUCUCCCAGGGGCCCUCACCCUGUCUCCCCCUCUCCCUGGGGCCCUGGCCCUGUUUCACCCUGGCCCUCUCCCAGGGGCCCUGGCCCUGUUUCACCCUCGCCCUCUCCCAGGGGCCCUGGCCCUGUCUCACCCUCUCCCAGGGGCCCUGUCUCACCCUCUCCCAGGGGCCCUGGCCCUGUCUCACCCUCUCCCAGGGGCCCUGGCCCUGUCUCACCCUCUCCCACAGCCCGGGGCCCCGUCUCACCCUCUUACACGGGCCCCCUGCCCCCGCCCCCUCCCCUCCCUGGCAGCCUAUCAGCAGCCCCCUCAGACCCCCCCUGGUCCCGCCCCCUCCGCCAACCCCCUGGCCCUGCCUCUCUCCCUGGUUGCCCCGUCUCCACAUCCCCGUCCCACUAUCCCGGUGGGACGGCCCGUCGCCCCCCCUCCCUCUGACCCGCCAGGGAGGCCCCUCCCCCUACAGAACCCGCCUCCUACCUUUGGACCAAUAGGAGGAGGAGGAGGAGCGGUCACUGGCCGAGCGACGGAGGACGAGGGGGAACGGGUGGAGUGCACGGCAGGGGCGUGGACGGCGAAGGAGUGCACGGUGGAAAGAUUGCAACAUACGCUGGAGGAGCUCUGGACCGCGCUAGCGGGAAAAGGUUACACGGCGGCAGAGCGGCUGCUGACUGAGUUUGAGCGGGCGUUGGCAGAUGGCCCUCAGGGGACCCCGGGCCCUCUGGGGCCCCAGACCAGCCUGGCCCCGCAGGCGCUACGCAGCCAGAACGCCCAGCCGCACCGGGGUAUGAGGAUCUUCAACCAGCAGUUGCAGGAGAGAGAGAGGGCCGAGAGACUUUGCAGAGAAAGCCACUGUGACGCAAUGCGCCUGGAGGCGGAGCUUAGCGCCGUCCAAUCACAGCUGGGGAGGCUGCAGGCGGAGGUGUCGGAGCUGCGGAUGGCCUUGCAUGAGAAGGACGCCGAGAACGCCCGCAUCAGAGCAGGCUCUGUGGCCCGGUGUCCCGGGACGUCUGGCCAGGUGCUCCUGCUGGCCCAGACGAGGCUGAAGGAGAUGGCGUCUCGGCCCGGUCUCUGCAGUGUGCUCCAGGGGCCCCCUCUGACCCGCCGGGCCCUGGACCAACACCAGCGUGGGCAUGACCACUCGGGGCCCUCGUCCAACCAGAUGUCUUUAUGA
rnacentral:lncRNA from 1 species